rnacentral:lncRNA from 1 species
CCUUGGAACCUAAUUAUGUUGUGGAUGUCCGAAUAUAAAAUAGUUGAAGAUAGUAUUGCGUUGGUCAGAUUUGCUAAGGUGGCGACCAUAUGUUUGCAGCAGGUUAGAAAUCCAUGGCUCUAUGAAUAGUGAGUUUUUUUUAUAUAAAAUAACAUGUAUGGCUUAUUUGGUCUUUUAAGUUAAACCCUCCCAAUGCUUAUGGACAUGGGGAUCCUCCUCAAAAGACCAUCCUCAACUUUGACCCGCAUAAAACAAAAACAUAUAUUAUCGAUAUGAUCAACGAUGAUAGCGACGACGAGAAUGAUAAGCAAAAG